GGUGGCCAUGGCGAGGGGGAAACACCCGUUCCCAUCCCGAACACGGCAGUUAAGCCCCUCAGCGCCGGAAGUACUUGGUCCGAAAGGUCCCGGGAGAUAUGGACGCCGC
rnacentral:rRNA from 2 species